rnacentral:rRNA from 1 species
AGGAGAGGUAUUGAAAAUUGGUGUAUGUAAAUAAUACUAAUUUAAGGAUUAAAUUAAUCAAAGAAAUGGUUAAUAAUUAAUAUAUUAAAUAGAUAAAAAGAUAAAAAAGUAUCAAUCUAAAUAUGAAAAUAAGAGAAUAAGAAUUAAGUGAAUUGAAACAUCUAAGUAACUUAAUAAAGAAAUCAACAGAGAUAAUAAGUGUAGCGGUGAGUGAAAUUAUUAAAAUCUAAAAGUAAUAUCAAGAGAUAUGAAUAAAGUAGUACCAACUACUAAGAUAAAAAAUAAUAUAUUAAAUAAAAGUACUGUAAAGGAAAAAAAAGAAAUAGAUUAGUAGAGAGCAGUUAUAGAGAUAACGUACCUUUUGUAUAAUGGGCCAGUGAGUUAUUUAUAUUAGUGAAAUAGAAAAAUUAAAAUAAAAAUGAAAAAUAAAAAUAAAAUUAAUAUAAAUAGGCCCGAAAGCAGACGAUCUAAAUAUAUCCAAGUAUAUAUAUAUGUUUUAUUAUAUAAUUGAGAAAAUCAAGAAAUAAAUAAAUAAAUCUAAAAUAUAGAUAAUAUAUAUAUGACUCAAUAGGUAAUUGUAGCAAUAAUUUCUAAAGAGAUGUGUUUAGCAGUGACAGACAAAUCUGGUUUGCCGAUAGCUGGUUUUCUACGAAAUAUAUUUUAGUAUAGCCUUUAUUAAAUCUUUAAACUGGUACAGCACUUAAAUAACUUUGGGGAAUUCAAAAAAAUUUUAUCAAAAUAUUUAAACCUCGAAAUCAGUAUAUAAGUUAAAUAAAGAGUCAGACUUAUUGCGAUAAGGUAGUAAGUCGAGAAGGAAACAACCUAGACUAUUAAAUAAAAGUCCCAAAUGAUUAGUUAAGUGAACAUAAUCUAUCUUAUAUAUAUUUAUUAUAUCAUAAUAUGAAAAUAAUAAAUAUAUUUAUUAAUUCUUUGUAAAAAAAGAGAAAUAUAAAUUAAAUUAUAGACAAUUAGUUAGUGGGUUUGACAAUAAUCACCUUAUAAAGAACAUGUAACAAUGCACUAAUUUGAUAUAUAUAUAUCAAUUUGAUAUAUUAUUUAUUAAUAAUAGAGAUAAUAUACGGGUCUAAACUAAUAACUUAAUUAUAGAUAUUUAAAAUAAAUACAAAAGUAUUUAAUAAAAAUAUGGUAGUAGAAUAUAUAAUGAAAAAUUAUAAAGAUAUUGCUGGCUUGAGUAACGAUAGGUAAAAUAAAUUUACCCUCUUAUAUAUAAGGUUUAACUAUAAAUGAACGGUCUCUAAAAUAGAAAUAGAAAUAUAAAUAUUGAUGAGAAAAAAUACAUGUAAAUAUACAAUAAACCGUACUGUAAACCGACACAGGUAUAUUAAAAGGAGAAUGAGAUAACUACUCUGAAUGAACUCGGCAAAUGCUAUAAAUCAGCUAAAUCGUGCGACUGUUUACCAAAAACAUAGCUUAUUGCAUAUUAGUAAUAAUAAGUAUAAUAAGUGAUAUCUGUCCAGUGUUUAUUAGAUAAAUAAGUUUAAAAUCUUUAUAAUUAAUAAAUAAACGACGGUCUUAUUGUGAGGAUCCAAAGGUAGCGAAAUUCAUUGACGUAUAAUUGACGUCCUGCAUGAAUGAAUAAACGAUGCGAUGACUGUAUCCAGAGUAGACUCAGUGAAAUAGCAAUUGCGGUGAAGAUUAAGUACUUAUGUUAUUAAUUAUAAUAACAUAUCUAAUACAAUGUAUUAGAAUAAAAUAUAUAUAUAUAUUUUAUAUCGCCGGGUUGGUUAAAAUCCAACUUUAUAGUUAAAUUAUAUAUAAUUUUAUAUUAAUAAAUAUUUAUUCUUAACUUUAAAGGAUUUAUCUGCAUCAAUAAAUGUAGAUCCUAGAAGAUUAAGUAGAUUAUUAAAUAAAAAUAGUGAUAUUAUAUUUAAUAAUUACCAAGUUAAAAGAAUAAGUAUAUAUAAUAAUAUAAAUUAUAAUUGAUCCCCUUCGGGGAUUAAUCAUCCCCCUCCACCAAAGGUGGAGGGGGGGGGGAUAAUUUAAAUAAAUUUUAAUUAAGAAUACAAUCGAAGAAAUUUAUAAACUAUAAAUAAAAAGGUGAAAACGGUCAAUGACAUCUUAGUUAAAGACCGUCGGCAGUUGUAUAUGUCGCUACAGACUGGUUCACCGAGGUUAGACUGAAAUGUCUGUCUAAAUGUACAGUCGAAUUUUGUAAUAUAUUUUUCAUUAAAUGAUAUGAAUAUAUAUAAAGGAGAAAGAUAUUUUUAAAAAAUAAAAAGCUUAAUUAGUACUUAAGUAAGAAUCCUUUGUAGGGCAAGCCUACUUUAGUUAAUCAAAAUUGGAAGAUGCCGUAUACCCGUAGGUUGACAAAAAGACCCUAUGCAGCUUUACUAUAUCUUUAUAUUGACUUUAAAUAAUAUAUAUAUAUAUUAUUCUUAAUCUAUCUAUUACAGUAUAAUAGGUUAAAUUUAUAAUCUUUUUUAUUAAAAAAGAUGAUUUAAAUAAAAUGAGAUACCUAUGCAGAUAGCAUUAAAGAGUCUAAUUUUAAAAUUUAUAAUGAAAUUAUAAUACUGGCUAUGCUGGAAAUAAAAGACCGUAUAAAGAGGUUAGUUUCGAUGGGGCGUCGACAUCAGCGAAAGCAUCUGAUGUGUCUAAAUAUAAUAAUUAUAUUAAUAUAUUAUAUAUAUAAUAGAAUAUACGUACAAUUAAUCUAUAUGGUAAAUAGAAUAAACCUAAUAAAAAGGUAAAAAAGGAUAACAACAUAAUUGUGCGAUGAUAGAAAUACAAACAAGUAGAUCUAGUACUUAAGUAGAGUGUAGUGAACAGGCAUAAACAAAUGGUAUGGAUGUCGAUAACGGAUUAACUGCGUGAGAGUUGAUAUCGUCAGCAGUGUUUGCCACCUCGAUGUCGUCUAGACUCGUCCUCCUGGUAGUAGUCACUAGGUAGGGUAGGACUGUUCGUCCUCUAAGGAGUUACUUGAGAUGGGUUAAUUACGACGUGAGUCAGUAAUGAUUUUAUCAUCUAUGGGUUUUAACUUAUCUAUUGCCUUAAGUGUACGCAAGGAUAAUAAGGUAUAUUCCUAUGAUUAUAAUUAUAUAAUUAUAAAAUAAUAUAUAAUUUUAGUUAAGAAUAUUAAGUUUACAUAUUGAAUGCAUAUCAAAUAUUAAAUCAUUUAGAUAAGUUAUUAACAUUAUAGACUAUAAUGUUAUAGUAUUAUUAUUAAAAAAAAUAAAUAAUAAACUAAUUAAUUCCGCAUAGCGGUAUUUAUCAUCUCCUUUCGGAGAUGAUAAAAUAAAAAUACAUACACCU